AUUGAACGCUGGCGGCAUGCCUUACACAUGCAAGUCGAACGGCAGCACGGGAGCAAUCCUGGUGGCGAGUGGCGAACGGGUGAGUAAAGUAUCGGAACGUGCCCAGUCGUGGGGGAUAACGUAGCGAAAGUUACGCUAAUACCGCAUACGAUCUAUGGAUGAAAGCGGGGGAUCGCAAGACCUCGCACGAUUGGAGCGGCCGAUAUCAGAUUAGGUAGUUGGUGGGGUAAAGGCUCACCAAGCCGACGAUCUGUAGCUGGUCUGAGAGGACGACCAGCCACACGGGGACUGGGAAUCGGCCCAGACGCCUACGGGAGGCAGCAGUGGGGAAUUUCGGACAAUGGGCGAAAGCCUGAUCCGGCCAUGCCGCGUGCAGGAUGAAGGCCUUCGGGUUGUAAACUGCUUUUGUACGGAACGAAAAGGUUUGGCCUAAUAAGCUGAGCUCAUGACGGUACCGUAAGAAUAAGCACCGGCUAACUACGUGCCAGCCGCUGCCGCGG
rnacentral:rRNA from 1 species